rnacentral:misc_RNA from 1 species
GAUGAAGAACGUAGCGAAAUGCGAUAAGUAAUGCGAAUUGCAGAAUUUCCGUGAGUCAUCGAAUCUUUGAACGCACAUUGCGCCCACUGGUAUUCCGGUGGGCAUGCCUGUUCGAGCGUCAUUAUCCUCCCUCAAACCCCGGGUUUGGUGUUGGACCGAAGUUGUGUGAACAACUGGUCUCAAAGACAAUGACGGCGUCCGUGGGACCCUCGGUGCAACGAGCUUUUAGGAGCACGCGUCGAGUUUCAAGGACCUUCCGGGCCGGUCUCCUUUACUAUUUUUACAAGGUUGACCUCGGAUCAGGUAGGAAUACCCGCUGAACUUAAGCAUAUCAAUAAGCGGAGGA